rnacentral:rRNA from 1 species
CACGUAAGAAUCUACCUCAUGGCCGGGACCAACAGUGGGAAACGUUGCUGCUAAUAACCCCGAUAUGCGCAUGCGUAAAGACUUCGGCGCCAAGAGAUGAGCUCGCGUCUGAUUAGCUAGUUGGUGAGGUAAAGACUUACCAAGGCGAUGAUCAGUAGCUGGUCUGAGAGGAUGAUCAGCCACAUUGGGACUGAGACACGGCCCAGACUUCUACGGGAGGCAGCAGUAGGGAAUUUUCCGUCAAUGAGCGAAAGCUUGACGGAGCAAUACAGCGUGGAGGAUGACGGCCCAUGGGUUGUA